UCGGGGGUCGUCUAAGGGCAGGACUACGGGUUUUGGUCCCGUCAAUCGAGGUUCGAAUCCUCGCCCCCGAA
rnacentral:tRNA from 1 species